CAAGUUCGAAUUGGAUGGAGGGGAAGCUUGCUCCCUGAUUUAGCGGCGGACGGGUGAGUAAUGCCUAGGAAUCUGCCUGGUAGUGGGGGAUAACGUUCCGAAAGGAACGCUAAUACCGCAUACGUCCUACGGGAGAAAGCAGGGGACCUUCGGGCCUUGCGCUAUCAGAUGAGCCUAGGUCGGAUUAGCUAGUUGGUGAGGUAAUGGCUCACCAAGGCGACGAUCCGUAACUGGUCUGAGAGGAUGAUCAGUCACACUGGAACUGAGACACGGUCCAGACUCCUACGGGAGGCAGCAGUGGGGAAUAUUGGACAAUGGGCGAAAGCCUGAUCCAGCCAUGCCGCGUGUGUGAAGAAGGUCUUCGGAUUGUAAAGCACUUUAAGUUGGGAGGAAGGGCGUUUGGCUAAUAUCCAGGCGUUUUGACGUUACCGACAGAAUAAGCACCGGCUAACUUCGUGCCAGCAGCCGCGGUAAUACGAAGGGUGCAAGCGUUAAUCGGAAUUACUGGGCGUAAAGCGCGCGUAGGUGGUUCGUUAAGUUGGAUGUGAAAGCCCCGGGCUCAACCUGGGAACUGCAUCCAAAACUGGCGAGCUAGAGUACGGUAGAGGGUGGUGGAAUUUCCUGUGUAGCGGUGAAAUGCGUAGAUAUAGGAAGGAACACCAGUGGCGAAGGCGACCACCUGGACUGAUACUGACACUGAGGUGCGAAAGCGUGGGGAGCAAACAGGAUUAGAUACCCUGGUAGUCCACGCCGUAAACGAUGUCAACUAGCCGUUUGGAAUCCUUGAGAUUUUAGUGGCGCAGCUAACGCAUUAAGUUGACCGCCUGGGGAGUACGGCCGCAAGGUUAAACUCA
rnacentral:rRNA from 1 species